GCAAUUCUUGAUAUGAUCAUGUGUGUGUGUUCAAAGAAUACUUCGCUGAGAGAUUGAAAAGUCAAGCAAAACCUUUUCCCCUUGUUCUUGUAGAGGCAGUGAUGCCACAAGUAGGAAUUUUAGGUGGCUUUGGUCUUUUCCCCCUUUAGUAUCUUCCUACCAAGUUUCCCCAAAUAAAUGAAAUAUUUGUGCUCUUGUAAACUCAGCUUCGGAGAAGGCAAUGGCACCCCACUCCAGUACUCUUGCCUGGAAAGUCCCAUGGAUGGAGGACUCCUAAAUCACUAAUCAUUAUUCAUCGCUUUGCUAAAACCCCAUUACCAAGAAUUUUUGAAGCUAAUUGUGAUUAAUAUGAAUGAUAAAUUUUUCAUAAACAUUUCUAAAAUUUGGUUUUCCCCUAUAUUAUAGUUGUAAAUGUAAGGGUUUGUGAAAUUUAUGGGCGAUGGGGAUGUUUUCUUCCUAGAGAUAUUGGGAGAUUUCAUGGGAUUGGCAAACCUCUAGCUGAGUCUUCAGGAAUUGGUAUGAGUUUGGAGACUAGGGGAUUUGAUAAGGGAGAAUUGCAUAGAUAAAGCCAUGGAGAUAAGAAAUGCCAGCCAUAUUUGGGAGCAUCCAGUUAUUAAGAACUUGGAAUGUUACCAGGAAGACAGUAGAAAGAUGAACUGAACAACUGAGUUACGGCCAAGUUACGGUGAACACUAAAUGUCAAACCGAGAAAUCAAAUUUAGUCUGCAGGGCAUGUGGAUACGUUGAAAUAUUUUCCGUACAGUGAUGACAUGAUCAGGACUGUGCUUUUAGAAGAUUAAUUUUGCAGUACUUUGUAGCAUGAAAGAUAGAGACAAAAUACAGGCGGUAGAGACGUCUCUGUCACAUCUGGUAAUAUAUCUUUGAAAUUCCUUUUUCCUUUAAAUGUCACACAGCAACUCUGAGAACUACACUUGAGACUGUGAUUCCGCUGUCAGCAGUGACAUUCACUUCUCAUUUUCUCUUCUGAUGAAUGACGGGAGCCAGCGUCAGCCGACAAUGAGAAGAAUCACUAAAUACAGUCAACAUGGAAUUCAGUUAAUGAAGAGGGCAAUCGCUUCUGUUCUGUAUAUGAUCAUAAUAUCUUCUGGCUAUAGGUUACCUGUAAUAAGAAAUAGUAGAAAGAGAAGAAACGGAAGAAGGGUGGGAGAAAAGAAAGUGAGGAGAGGAGGAGAGAAAAGCAGAGAGGAUACGACAGGGGAAGAUAAGUUUCUGUCAGUCUCUGUGAAGAGUAGAGUACCUCUGCUGACCUGUGAUGGAAAAGUAGCAGUGGAUUCUUCACCCACUGAGCUACCUGAGGAGGUCACGUCAGAGUACCCCCCUUGCGAUAUUAAGGCUGUAGUGUACUAAACACCGUCCCAGUGAAAGUCUUAAUGAUCUUUAGGUAUACAGGAGGCGGUCCUAAGAUGGUGGAGGAAUAGGAUGGGAAGACCACUUUCUCCCUCACAAAUUCCUCAAAAGAACAUUUCAACGCUGAGCAAACUCCACAAAACAACUUCUGAAUGCUGGCAGAGGACAUCAGGCAACCAGAAAAGCAGACCAUUGUCUUCAAAAACAGGGGUCUGUAUGUAGAAGCGGAGCACAGAGUUGUUGUUUUCCUUGCUGCCUCUUGCCAUUGUUCUAUGUCGACCCCAUCUCUUACAUUUGUGAAGAUCUACAGCUGUCCCUAUCCCGUGCCAGUGUGCCUUCUUUCAUAGUUGUGAACUCUGACUCCUCAAGCAUGUACCACAUAAUAAAA
ensembl:lncRNA